GGCGCAGGCGGGAAAGAAAGUCAGAUGUGAAAUUCCGGGGCUCAACCUCGGAGCUGCAUUUGAAACUCCUAUUCUUGAGGAUAGGCGGAGAAAACGGAAUUCCACAAGUAGCGGUGAAAUGCGUAGAUAUGUGGAAGAACACCCGUGGCGAAAGCGGUUUUCUAGCUUAUUCCUGACGCUGAGGCCCGAAAGCUAGGGGAGCGAACA
rnacentral:rRNA from 1 species